rnacentral:lncRNA from 1 species
CACAGGAAGGUGGGGAGACGAGAAGGCUGGGGGCACAGACAGGCAGGAUUUGGCAGGAGGGACACACUCAGAGCGCAGGCCAAAGUCACCCUGGGGCUGCCCUCCAGCCGCUGUGCGUGCUCCCUCAGGGGGUCUCAGCAAGUCUCUCAGGUGGACACAACCUCUUUCCACACAACGACGUCACGACUUUCAGCCAAUUAUGGCCUAACGUCUCAUUCUCAGGAGUCAGAUGGACUUGUUUUCUUUGUGAAUGGAAGAAAGAGGAUGGCGGAAGGUCCCAAAGAGAAAUUUCUGACUUUCCAUGCGGAGAGGACUACCUGGAUCACCCUAGAAACCCUAAAAGACCUUCUUGGGCUGAAAAUGAAGGACCUUGAAGCUCCUCUUGUGAUGGGGGAACACUUCUCUUGGUGACAGCGAAGAGGCCACAGUUCCUGCCUCCUGCACAGAACAUCAAAACUAGUGAAAGAAGAUGUAAGUUAACUGGAAAGCAAAGUCCCUGCAGGACCAGCCUGGGGAAGUGGCCCCGAGGGGUGAAACGGAAGACAAAACAGAACCGCUUUUGGUUUACAAACUACCCAAGAAAAACCAGCCUCUUUUUCACUUGUCUUUUGACCAAAAAGUGUAUUAGCCAAACUGAGGCCCUGCCUAAUCCAGCAAGCCGGCUUCUGAAUGUCUUUCGCCUCUUACCACAAAUCCAACCCACUUCAAAGAAUGAAGAUUUAUCACCACAGAGGCCACAGGCUCUGAAAGGACAUCCCUCAAAGAGUUCCCACAAUGUCCGGAGGAGGACGGCGCGACUGAGACAAAUGUGCAAGCUCUCCCAAGUAGACGGCCCCAAGGACUCACAUUUAUUUGCUGGUCUAGGUUUCAAGAUUUUCAUGGAAAAUAAUCACAUGACUUCAUGGCUGUCUUUCCUUUAUUGAUGUCACUGCUGUCAUUUGUACAUUUGCUGAUGUCACUGUUCUCAUAACAUACCGUGUUUACUGCCAUCCCUCUUGAGACAUCUCAACUCUUCAAACUCAUCCACAAGCUCCCUCUCCCACAACACACCCAUCUGUCUGUCAUUGUCACAUCUGCACACUGAUCCAGACCGUUCUGCCCUAUAAAUGACACACUGUAACCUUGGUAGAGUGACUCCCAUAAGCUGCAGGAGUUCUGCUCUGUGAACACAGGCAGAAGAAUGGUUUUCCAAGACAGGGUCCCAAGACACAUCUGGAAACAACCACAUCAUGAGAGAGUCAUGAUAUUGUGUGUGACUGGUUUUCAAUUUCAUUUUAACUUUAGAAUGCAUUUUUAUAAUAAGACUAAGACUGGAUUUAACAAAAUAUAAAGUAGUUUCAGUAAUAUAUGGUACCUUUAAAUUAAAUGCUCCCCCCCAACAGAAGAAACAUAGCAAAUUUCUUUAAAAGAUCGUUUUCUUGUUGGAGCAACAAAUGCCAGCCUUAACCUAGAAGAAGCCCUAGUUUCUGUUUUCAUUCCUGUCUCCAGAAAGGUACAAGAUUAUGAAGUUUGUGAUGUCCACGUCCAUCUGUUUGAUUUUAGUUGCUUGACUUACACCUUGAAUUAAAUUCAACAUAAUAAAAAUAGAAAUUGCGGCAAAUAUUUUAUACUUUAUAUCUUGCCUAGAUGAAAAGAAAUAGUGGAUUAAAUGUUGAUCUGCUUUUUUAGAGAAUUUCAGAACAAUGCGUUAUUUUCUCAUUGUUCUUCAAAAGCUCUAAAAACCUGGGAUCCUUGGACUCACAAAUCAUAUCGUUGAAAGAGGCGAAUGUUUUUUGUAUAGGUAAGGAGAUUGAGGUCCAAAGAAAUGUAGUUAUUUCAACAAGGGUUCACAGUGACUGGGGGCAGAACCAGGACCAAAACUCUCCU